AAGAGCAAGAGGGAGGAAGUUGCCUCGAGCCCCACCCCUUCCUUAUCCUUUCCUCCAAAAUUUCACAUCGCACGCAACCUUCUCUCGUGCCGCCGCCGCCGCCGCCGCCGCCUCUUCUCUCCCCCGAUUCUCCUCGCGACUGCUCCGAGCCCCUCCUCUUCCCUGUGUCGGCUGCUCGACGCGCCACCGCUGCGGGAGAAGGUGAACACGAGGAGAUGCAGGGUGGGUGGCCUCGCCGGAAGAGGGUGACGCCGGGAACCACCGGCUGGCCAAGGACCGUGUGGGCUGGCACUUCCCCGCGGCGCCCUCCUUCCCCGACUUCGCCGUCGCCACUGCCCCCUCCCCUCCUGUCAAGGCUGAGCGUGCACAGAGUGGACGAGUCGAUCGCGGCGGAACCAGAGUCACUCGAGGCCGGGGUGCGAGAUGAUGUCCAGCAGGCGGAGGGGUGGCCAUGGGAGGAGUAGCCCACAAUGAAAUCCAUUUUCUCUUUGUGUGUGUGUGUGUGUGUUGGAUUUGGAUCGAGGAAGGGGAUGGCGUGGGGAUGAGGCGGUGGACAGAGGAAGAGGGCGAUGCUGGCUGGCUGAGCGGGCGGAUCUGGUCUCGUUUGUUCUGUAGAGCGGCCAGAGGAGCAGGCCAACAUAACACCAACGUGGUGAGCUUCCCCUCUCCACCAUCUACCCCCAGAUCUGAACAUCAACUACAAUUUAGUUAUACUAAGGACAGUACUUGUGCAAGGCGAAUUGAAAUCGAAAUUUCGCAUGUACACCUGCAAAAAGGAGAUGACCUGCAUGAGUGCAAAGGCUAAGGCGAGGUAUGUGCAAUCUUGAUGUACCACCAUGUAAAAAAACUGGAGUAUGUGCAUAAUUUUUCCUAUGGAACUAUUAUGGAAACCAGAUGCUUAUUCUUGAAAUGGUUGCUCAUAUCAAAGAAGAGGUCUCCUUUGGCGCCAUUUUGGAGUUCUUAUCCAAGUUCUGUUCUAAUUAUUACUAGAUGAUGUUGUGUUGAUGCUGUUCUUCACAGUUGAUGGCAAUAUGACGUUGACAAGUGUAGUGGUUCGGUUUGGAGAAAGAGAGAAUAAAGUAUCCCUAUACAUCAGUACAUUUGGCUACUAAUGUAAGAAUACAAAAAGUCGUUUCAGUAGCUUUCACAGGUUCAUCAAGGAGUUGGCUGUUCAAGCUGAAUCCCUCCACACCCAAAUGAUAAAAGCUUGUUUUUUUAAUGAACAAGCUAAUUUAGGAAACGUUGCUAAUCCAGGCUAAGAAAUGAGUUCUCAGAUGAGGUGUCAUGUGCCAGCAGUAAUUUUUUUAUGAGUCUACCCAAGUGUCAGAGUAACUAUCUUGCUUUUAGUUGUGAUUCUGAUUAUUUACAUUUAAGAGCUCAUUUCUUAUGACUUCUUGUGUGUAUCAUGAUAGAUUGUAUACAACUGAUCGUAGCUCAUUUUAUUAUUCGGAGACUUUCAACUAAUUACCAUAUGCUAAUAAUUCUCUUUUCUUUUUUCUUUCCUUUCCAUUUGCCAAUUACAUAGGUUCAUUAGAAAUCCAACUGUCAAUGAGAACGCCAUGAACCUCAUUUUUGGUUCAAUAAAUCGUUCAAUUUCUUUUAUUUAAUUUGCAUGUGGAAACAACAUAUGCUAAUUUUCCAUUUAUGUUUCAACAUACACAUGCGCACACAUUUGUACUGAUUAAUUGUUCGCGAAACGAUCUGCCGACAUACUCACAUGAUACUUUUAGUGCUGUUGUCUUAUUAUUUCCCUUUUACUCCGCUCUCUGUUUUUCCAUCUUGCUUCACUUUCGAUCAAUCGUCACAGCAAUUGCUUCUUACCAAUUAUUAUAAUUUUUUUUCUCAAAUGCACAGCGCAAGGAAGAUGAGCUUCCUUGUAUUUCUCGCUUGCAUGGAUUCUAUUUAUUGGAAUUAUUUGCCGUAAAAAAUGCCUUGGUCAUACAUCUAAGUACGACUAUGCUUUUAUGUACUCCCUCCGUUCCAAAAUAGAUGACCCAAUUUUAUACUAACUUUGUACUAAAGUUAGUACAAAGUUGGGUCAGCUAUUUCGGAACGGAGGGAGUAGUUGUGUGAGUGUGUGACAACAUCUCAAUAUCAAAGUUUUAGUAUCAAGGAUAAAAAACUUUGUGGAUGUACUAUUAGGAAGAGCAGUGAUUACAGCCAGUAUAGUUUGGAUAAAUGUAGGCAGUAAAACUGGAAAUUGGGCCUGCAAAAACUAAACAUAGGCAUUUUUUCAACCACUUUUUAAGUGGGCACGAUGAUCUUUGCCAAGUAUGAUAGCCAAACAAGUUGCUAAUUGCCAAGUGCUAACCAAUUUAUCUACCACCAUUGUUACCUGACGCGUUAUGCAAGGGUGGUUAGCUUGUACCUGUCAGCUUCUGCUCCCUAACAUGGAUUCUAGUUAAUGGAUCACUAUGCUUUUGAAGUGCUUAUGCACCACAUCUCAAUAUCUAAGCUUUAGCAAUAAAACCAAAUAACUACAGAAACAAUAAAAUUCUAACAGGGAAUAUAGAUGAGUGCUGCAAUGUCAAGUGUAGAACAACAGAUUCACAAGCAUGGUGCUUACCACGCUUGCACUGGUGCUUGACCAUGGUGACGGCGCCGCUAUGCCUCCAGUCCAGCGCGUCGGGCACGGCGUCGGGACAGGAAUGUGCCUUGCUUCACUUUCCGUGAAGUCACUCCUUUGUACUUGUAUUGUUUCGUUUUACUCAAGUGCCUUGAUACAAGAUACUUAAAGUAUUUCUCGAUUUUACCUCAUUCCUUAUUACUAACCCACAACCGUACUUCCGGUUAAUGUGGUCUGGACUGUCAUUCAGGUGCCAUGGAAGGACUAAACAAGAUCGCGACGGGCUCUCUUCUCAGCCUUCCUGAGUAGAAACUAAUCGGUUGUGACAGAUCCCACAAUGCUGGUUGUGGCGGGUAGGCUCAUGAACUAUGCUUAUAAGUUUGUGAUUAAUAAUGGUGGGAGUGACAGGAAGGAUGACUACCCGUUUGGUGAAUCAGAUGAAGCAUGCAACAAAAACAAACUGAAAAAGCAUGUGAUAACAAUUGAUGGCUACUGAAGCGACGUCCUGCUGGUGUACAUCAGGGACGCCUGCACCAACGAUGACGCCUUCAAGGUGCCGUGGAAGUGAAGUCAGGGCAUGGGGAUCCGGGCAAGUGCGCCAAGGAGACCGACGCGUCUUACCCGCUCAUGACCCAAGCAGUGAUUUUCCAUUGCCUCAUGUAUCAUCGACCGUCGCCAGCCUCUGGUUUUAGAUGUGAACGUGCAUGUACCAGUACUUCAUAUUGCUAUAUUUUGAUUCUGACGAAAUAACAUCACGUGGUACAAUCAAGAAAGUGGAAGGGGCGCAUCCUAUCUAGCACCGCCCUAGCUUCCUCUCAGGCGGCGCACCUGGGUGCGCCCCAACCACUAGUUUGGGAAAAAACCUACUUGCUCUGUUCCAUUAUGUAAGACAUUUUUUUGGCACUGUA